CCUACGGGCGGCAGCAGUGGGGAAUAUUGCACAAUGGGGGAAACCCUGAUGCAGCGACGCCGCGUGAGUGAAGAAGUAAUUCGUUAUGUAAAGCCCUAUCAGCAGGGAAGAAAAUGACGGUACCUGAGUAAGAAGCCCCGGCUAACUACGUGCCAGCAGCCGCGGUAAUACGUAGGGGGCAAGCGUUAUCCGGAUUUACUGGGUGUAAAGGGCGCGUAGACGGGAGUGCAAGUCUGGAGUGAAAGGCGAGGGCUCAACCCCCGGACUGCUGUGGAAACUGUACGGCUGGAGUACGGGAGAGGUAGGUGGAAUUCCUGGUGUAGCGGUGAAAUGCGUAGAUAUCAAGAGGAACACCAAUGGCGAAGGCGGCUUACUGGACUGUAACUGACGUUGAGGCUCGAAAGCGUGGGGAGCAAACAGGAUUAGAUACCCGAGUAGUC
rnacentral:rRNA from 1 species